rnacentral:lncRNA from 1 species
CUUCGACGCAGUGAGCACGAACUGAGCAGGCGCUGCAGCCCGGGCUCCCCCUGCAGUCCCUGGGGAGCCGUCACUGCCGAGGCGCCCAGACUCCGGGAUAACACUCCUCACCCCGAGCCUGGCCAAGGCGAGGGGGAGAAGGAAGCAGGGGAGGCUUUGGAUCCAUAGAGUCAUCCACAGUUCACCCACCCAUCCUCAGCCUCCAAGAAAACUCCAGUGACCCUUUUCUGGAAAGCUGUGCAGAUGGGGAAAAACAUACCAAUCCUAUCACAGGGGACGUAAUCCCUAAGAGUUGAUCUGAACCCAUCUUGCUGCAGUAGAGCGUUUACUAGAGCAGCAUUUUUCAACCUUGACUGUGCAGCAGAAUCGCCUGUGGAAGUCUGAAAAAGACAGCUUUUACCCUGGACCAGCUGCAUCACAAUCUUCCCGAGCUUGCGAGUGGCAGCACUGAGCCAAGGUAUCGGCCUGGGAUUCUUGUGCUGUCACUGGAGAGCCACCCAGACUGGGAGAGAACA